rnacentral:rRNA from 1 species
UUGCGGUUAAAAAGCUCGUAGUUGGAUUUCUGUCUGGGAUGGUCGGUCCGCACUUUGUGCGUGCAUCUGAUGCGUCCUCGGCAUCCUUCUGAAGGACAUUGUACUUUAUUGUAUGAUGGAUUUCAGAACUUUUACUUUGAGGAAAUUAGAGUGUUCACAGCAAGCAAGCGCUUUGAAUACAUUAGCAUGGAAUAAUAAUAUAGGACCUUCAGUACUAUUUUGUUGGUUUCUAGAGCUGAGGUAAUGAUUAAUAGGGACAGUUGGGGGCAUUCGUAUUAACGCGUCAGAGGUGGAAUUCUUGGAUUGCGUUACGACGAACUACUGCGAAAGCAUCUGCCAAGGAUGUUUUCAUUGAUCAAGAACGAAAGUAUGGGGAUCGAAGACGAUUAGAUACCGUCGUAGUCUAUACCAUAAACUAUGCCGACUAGAGAUUGGAGGUCGUUUUUUUAUGACUCCUUCAGCACCUUAUGAGAAAUCAAAGUCUUUGGGUUCCGGGGGGAGUAUGGUCGCAAGGCUGAAACUUAAAGGAAUUGACGGAAGGGCACCACCAGGAGUGGAGCCUGCGGCUUAAUUUGACUCAACACGGGAAAACUUACCAGGUCCAGACAUAGCAAGGAUUGACAGACUGAUAGCUCUUUCUCGAUUCUAUGGGUGGUGGUGCAUGGCCCG